CUUGAACGAUUUGAAACUUGUUUUUUUUUUUCUUUGUUGAAAAUUUAUGGGACUUUGCGACACGUAUGUGAAUCGACGAUGACAAACGUACGAAAAGGAAAACGUUAUUUCUAUUCUACGGAGAACUGGUUUUGCCAUUGGAAAGAGGCAAGCGCGCGGCGCGCGUGCCACUCGCGUGUGUCACGUGUCUCUAUGCGAAGGUAACAGGUAAGAGGUAACAGGUAAGCGGCGAGGUUUAGAACCGCAGGUAGGAACGCUCUCCCUCUCCGUAAAGCGCGCAUGCGAUCGUAAACAAAGCUUGGACGGGCAUAAAUUAGCCGACACUGUCCAUAUAUAAUUCUAGCGCAAUCGAUUUAAUUAAUGUUGAUUAAUAGUGCAUUAUUGCGUUCUAUCGAUAAUCUCACGCGCACAAAUUACAAUUUUUAUCACAAUUAUGAAGGCGAGCGAGCGGCACACACACGCACACACGGAAGAAUUCUUUGUUCUCUCUUUCCCCCCUCUAUUUCUCUCCUCGUUCUACGAGUGGAUCCUGCACAGUCUGCGUGAAUUCGCGGAAGAGGCACGAUCGAGACGAUACUCCUUAUUAUUCCGCGUAGGCUAGCCUCGUAGGUACCUACAUGCGUGCCGUAACCGUGGGAAGCUACGUACGGUGCCGGGGAAAAUGCUAAUUUUAUGCGAAUUCACGGACUCGACUUGGCUGCACCUUCACCUACACCGGCGCUGCUUCGCGCGCUGCUUCGCAACAUUGCGCAAUAAAGUCGGUCGACGGAUGUGAGAGAACGCGAAGUCGGAGAACACGCGCGCGCAGCCGUUGCGGUUGUGUCGCGUCACUUCGAUGGACGACGCGUCGAGUUCCAACACGGAGAAGAAAUUGCGAUCCUGUUUACGAGAGUACGAGAGUAAGGGGAGACCGUCCUCCUCUCGAAGUGUGUACGAGAUUUCGCGACACUCGUCGCGUGAGCGAAAUAAACGCUACCGUAUCUCUUCAUUAAGUGGAUCGCUGCGGAACGCGCGUAAAUCGACGCUGCGGGACAAGAGCGAGCAGCCGAAAGCCGUGCCAAAGUGUGUCGGCGAGCUUGAGAGGCAAUAUUUCGUUUUCCUUAAUCGAAAACUUAACUCAGCUCCAAGGCCCACGACACACCGCCGCGUCGCGCGUUACAUCGGCAAUAAAGUCGCGUGGUUGCGCGCGGUAUCCAGAAAUAGUAGGUACCUUCCUGUGUUUUUAAUCAAGUGCAUCGCGAGAUGAACGGCGGUUCGGUCCCAACGAACGACUUCUAAGAAUGCCUCCUUUAAUAUGAAUAUGCAUAAGGUCCCGAGCGAAAGGGGGAAGGGAAAGCCGAGAGAUGCACCCUUUAUGGCGCGUCUCCCGCGGCUUUUACAACGGUUUUGUUUUUCUGUAAUAAUAGCGUUCCGAAUGGGGGACGGAGGGCGCGACAGCGCUUAAACAUUUUAUCAGAUCAUUUAUAUCUCAUGAAGAGCCGUAAAGACACGCGCGGAGGGGGGCGUUUUGCAUUGAAAGUGGCCGAAAACACAUAGGAAUUAAUUAAGCUGCCAUAAAUAGCGGACCCACAGUUCUUUAUGGGCACGCUUCACCGAUUCCCUCGACCGCCCUUUCACGUUCGGGGGCGCGUCGUCGAAAAACGGGGGACAGAAAGAAGGCGGCGUACAGUGACUUUUUGAUGCUCGAGAGUAAGCGCGACGCUCCGCGACGAUCGUGAUUAAGAGCAAUUUGUUUAAGGAGAUAACGAAGGCCGAUCCCGAUUGCAGUUUCUGGCUCGAAGGACUGCCCUUUAUGGAUGAUCGUUAAUGUACGCGGCAACUAACAAGCGAGUCUGUCGGCGACAUAAAUUUUCAUAUACCUUUUCGCGAUUGCUUCUAAUUGUCCCGAAGAGCCCGGCCGGAUCGAUAAAAUUUCGAUCAUUCGAUUUGUACCUAUCGAAGAAGCACAGAAGUGUCUUCGCCGUUUCGCGGACGACGCUCUUCCACGGAAGAAGUCGGUCAGGAUGAUAGAUGCAAUUUGCGCCAACAGUCAGUCAGUAGCAUGCGUUUCCUAUAGGCCCGAUAAUUACGUCGCCGCUAAUGUCUUCGUAUGUUCGUACCCUCUACCCUACAACGACCUCCGAUCUCGCCAUUAAUGCAUAUUCUUCAUGGCAUCACGCAUGGCUCAUAUCUCGCGUACCAAUCAAUUUAAUUAUACCUUAUCAUGUACGGUGGCAAGACUACUAAGAAUGUACAAUGCGGUCACUCACUCCUCCCUCACCGUAAUGCAAAAUUUAUCCUUAAUAUUAAUAAUUAUAGACCGCCGUUCCAACACUUUCGUUAUCAACGCCUCGAAUCGGCUAUCGGAGACCUAAAUCAAAAAAAAUGACAGCCAUGACGUCUAUCUCCAGACAGAUUUUUCUUCGCUCAACCAUUUCUUGCUUGCACGUUGAGCUUGACAUGGGGUCGAUUGAAGAUUUCUAAACUUGAUACGCGAAAAUGUGUGAGAUGAGAUCGUUCCGGAGCUUUUUAGAUGAACAUCUUUAAAAUACGUUUUUGUAUCGUUAAUUAUAGAUAAUUGUGAUCUAAGGGCGCUUACCUAAUUAUCGAAACGUCAAAUCUUAAUAAAGAAUCGAAAUAAGGCAACAGAGGGGAUCUAAAGUGACGCAUUAAUUUUUACAAAGAAAAUAUUUUGAGCAUUCCAUCGUCACAUUUUAUAUUGAUAUAUGAUUAAAGACAUACAAAUUGAGAUUCUAUCUUGCAAGCAUAUUAAAUUCUAAAGAUCAUUGGAUUUGUAUAUAUUAUUUUAAAAUUAGCGAACAUACAUACAAUAUAUUUAUAAAAUAUAUUAAUAUUUGAAAAUUGUUAAAGAUAACAUGUAUUUUUUUUGUUUCCGUGAAACAUUAAAAGUACAUUGUUUUUUUAAUCAGUUUUACCAAUACUUAUUUCUCAAGAAUAAAGCAAAGGGACCUGAUACUAUUCUCCUGCCUUCUGCACCCUGCCGAAACUAUCAUGUUGCUAAACAAACGUCGUGCUUCCUUUCUAUCUAUUUUUUAACAGCAUCCGUCGCCGCAGGCAUGCCGAGAAGCGUGUCAUUACGGGAGCAUAAAAGAAAUCAUCGAUAAGGAAGGUGUUGAGAGCGAGAUCGAGAUACGCGAACUGUCUUAAACCGUAUGGCAUCCGAGGUGCUAAACGGUUCACGGCGAGGUGUUAUGCACAACAUAGGAACGCCAGAUACAAAACGUAGGUAGGCGUUCGCCAAGUUUUCCUUAUCGGACAGACACACAAAUCAUUGGCCAGUCGAGAAUUUACGACUCGGCCGAGCUGCACAAUUCUAUAAGACCGAGAUGAUUUUCAAUGAUAAAAUAACACGACGAAAUGGAUAUAAAAUUACGAAAAAGGUAAUGCCCUGCGAUAUUUUAUAUCGACAGCUUUGAAAGAAUUCUGUAGUGUAAUUACACGUGUUAAUAUUUUAUGACCACAGUACUGACAUAUUUGGAAGGAUAGAAUUUGAUCCGUGCUCUGGUUCUGGCUAACAUUCUCACACACAGCGCGUCGCCUGAUUUGAACAGAGGAACUCGUAGCCGCAGGCGGCUUUUUGCGCGGACCACGAAGCGUGGAAUUAACCGGUGCUUCCCCCUUUUCUAAAACCAACACGUAAUUAUCUCACCGGCGGUUGCGUUUGGCAAUUCCUUUUGCCCUGGCCCCUUUUUCCACCGACAGGUUCGGCAAACGGCGAUACCCGAUAUUUACAUGGCAGGUGAUAUCAAUUAUCGCCCGUGAGCCGCCGGUGCCCCGGAGCCGAGAUUGCAGCCGAAUCCGAGUCUUGAAUGGUUCCUCACCAAUUUGCUCGAUUCGCGCCUACGUCAUUUUUUUCGUAUCGCUCUAGUAUAGUUUGCGCGAUGUAUCGUAACUAGCAGUUUGAUCGACCAGCGGAUCGAGCAAGCUUGCUUAGUAGAAAUCAACGCUGCAUAGGAAUGCUCGUGUGAUUUUUUCUGAAAAAUCUCUGUUCUCCAGCAUAAUUCUCGACAAAGUCAAGAAACAGAGUCUCAAACGCGUUUGCGGAUCAAUACAUACAUAAUGAAACAUGUGACACGGAAUUACCUAAAAUAUAUGCCAAUUUGUAUGCGUUUGGCUAUCACGAGAAAAAUAUAAAAAAUAACUGUAAUAAAUAUGUCAAUCACUUGUAAAACGCAAAAGAUGUAUCAUCAUACUUCAUACGAUGGAAAUUGCGAAUAUAUGUGUUCAUAGGGACAACAGAGCGAUUUUUCUUAUUUCCUUCAAAACUGGGCGUAACGUUCCGUUGCAGCUGAAGCAAACGGUGACUUGAUAAGCACCGUGAUGGUCCCCCGGGGCAAAAACAAAUAAUAACUCGGCCACGAGAGAGGCCCUCGGUUAGCUACAACGUUCGGCUGCGGUGCCCAUCUCUCGCCUUAUUUGCAGGCGACUAUCGCAAUUUUGAAAAUGGUUGUCUCAUCACGAAGGCAGAGCCCGGUCUGGGACGUUGUCGAUUACAGGGCGCGCCGCUGCUCGUCGUAUUUCGGUGUUGGUUUUCGAGCCUUUUGUGUUAAAAAGACGCGAGUAAUCAUCCCCCCUCUCUCUCUUCUUCCUCUUUCCUGUCCCCUUCGAGCCGAUACUUUUGCAAACACGUAGAAUCGAGUAGGGGUCCAACGAGGUGGGGAAAGAACGCCCAUAGUCUGCCCCCCUUUCGCUCGUCCCGUGCCGCUUCCGAUCGCCCCCAGGGCCGCAACGAGCCGACUGGCCGACUUUUUGCCACGUCGCAAGCUUACCAUAGGGAAUCAUCAAGCGUAUACUUCGACAACAGGUGUCGGGGUGGCCGGUUUUCGAGCGAGUGCGCGAAAUUGCAGACUCGCGCCGUCGCCGUCUCCGUCGCCGUCGCCGCCGCUCGAGUCGGUCGCGUGAGUGACUUUGCAUGCACGCGCGAUUACGCGCUCGUGAACGUUGCCAGCCUCAUUGCGCGGUUUCUGCAACGGAGGUGCAAUUCAUCCAAGGCGGUGUGACAGCUUUAUUUAAGGGCUGGCGGUGCCAUGAAUAAAAGGGAACAUUAAUCUUGAAUAAAAUGACUGUUCUCAACAAGCGAGGAUCGAUAUGUUUAACAUUAAGAUGAUGUAAAGCUUCGAAGAUGAUGAAAAGAUUUGUCAUUGCGUGACCACGCAGUGCGGAAGGAGGACCGUUGUUAGCGCGACGCGCCGACAAAAGAACGCACGCACACGCGCGCACCUGUGCACCAUCAAGCGGAAAUUGCGGACGCUUCUUCGGACCUCAAGUAUGUUUUAAAAAGAUGCGAUCCGUUUUUGCACGCCAAAUCGGUUUGUCCGCAGAAACGUCCUCCGCUGUGCACGCGUAUAUAUAUACGCACACGUGUGAGCAGGUCCACGGACGAGUGGGCCAAAAAUGGGCUCGUUCGAGCUACAGCAGAACGAAAGAGCGAGAAAAGGGGGUGGGAGAGGGGAGCAAGGAAGUGAUUCGAUGAGACAAAAAGAUGAAGCGCACAGCUACAAAUUCGUUUCUCAGCAAAGUGGCAGCUGUGCCCACGGUCAUGGCCAUAUCAGCUUUUGAAUCACGAUAAUAAAGAUGGUACCGGCGACCAUGAAAGCUGUAACGAGCACUUGUAAAUAUAAUUUUCGUUGGGUGUACUCCUCUUCCAUUAAUAUAUCGUGAUAAAACUUUGAAAGAAACAUCGUCAUAAAAACGGAAAAAUAAAUAUACGAUCGCGCGACUCCCGAUUAUAUCGCGACGAGAGACGAGGCGGAGGAUCGACGAUGUCCCCCUCCUGUCCCAUUUCACUUUGCAUUUUCGCGCCUACUUAAUAACGUCGAAAAGAGAAACGGAUGGAAGCGAACGGACGAUCGGGCAGCCAUUAAGGCGAAUCGUGGAGCUAAUCGCUGUCGUUGAUGGGACUGCUCCUCGGAGUCCACCGGUGAGUGGCUCGACUGACACGUCAACAAGUGAAACACUUUUUAAGCUGAAGAGUGUUUCGCCGAGAAAGCACUUAAGGACAGAUGCAGUUUGCUACUACAUCCGCGGACACCACGUGUGGGACGGAUGAUAGAGGAAUGGAUGUCUGAUGGAAAUGAAUUCAUUAAAAUAAAAUAAUAUAUGGAAUUACGCGGUUUCUACGUUAACGUUGAGCGGACGAGUGCCACGAAAGCUACGAGAUAUAGUCUUCACCUGAUGAGCACUAAUUACGAGCUUCAAGAUUACCUGCUUCCUAGUAACGAAGGUCUGCCUUUCAAGGGCAAAGAUCGUGUAAUCUAGAAGAAUCGUUCUCGUGGACGUAGAUUGACGGAUGAUUGAUGAAGGCUCACGGUGCCAAAGUACCGCCUACACGAUUUUUAUAAUUAAAGACCGGUAUACUAAUAGUUAUUUUGCUAUCUCUGUCUUGCACACCGAGCGUGUAAGAGGGAAUUCGAAUUAACUCUUCUGAGAUAAAAGAAGUGAAGUAUUGAAUUAAAUUAAUUUUAUAUUUUAAUUAAAAGCUUUAAUUGAUUCUCCAAAAUAACUUCCAAAUCAACAAGAAUUAAAAUUUAAAAUAUUAAAAACAUUUCAAUAACUCUUUACCAAAGUAUAAGUAUUAAAUAAUUAUAUUUUUGGAUUUCUUUUGUACGAGAUAAAAGUUACGACGAAAUGAGAUGCAUCAAUUUUAAAGAAUUAUUGAAAUAUUUUUAAUAUUUUAAAUUUUUAUUUUUGCUGAUUUGGAAGUUAUUUUGAAGAGAUUCAUCUCAUUAUAAUUUUUAUUUCAUAUAAAAGAAGUCAAACGUACUAAAAAAUUGUAUUACAGAAAUCGCGACGGUGUUGCAGAAUAAAUUUUACGACUGAGAUCAAACAACGGAGAUCAAAUUAAUAAUUUCUGUUACACUCGAUGCUCUCAUUCUCUAACGGCUGCUGCAUUUAGGAUAUAUGCAAGGUGUUCGUUCGGUUAGCAAAAAAAGCAUGAGAAAAUUUGAAGUGCAUAGCCUACGGCAGACAAAUUCAUGUUCUACACCAGACUGCCAAACAUCAAAUAUAAGUAGAUGCAUUCGCGCUUAAUGACUUACAUAUAUA